UACAUAGGGUGCAAGCGUUAUCCGGAAUUAUUGGGCGUAAAGCGUUCGUAGGUGGUAUGUUAAGUCUGAAGUUAAAUACUGGAGCUCAACUCCAGCACGCUUUGGAUACUGGCAUACUAGAGUCGUGUAGAGGUCAGUGGAAUUCUAUAUGUAGCGGUGGAAUGCGUAGAUAUAUAGAGGAACACCAAUGGCGAAGGCAGCUGACUGGGCAUGUACUGACACUGAGGGACGAAAGCGUGGGGAGCAAACAGG
rnacentral:rRNA from 1 species